GAAUCUUGCGCAAUGGGCGAAAGCCUGACGCAGCCACGCCGCGUGUGUGAUGAAGGCCCUCGGGUCGUAAAGCACUGUCGGGAGGAAAGAAGCUCUGACGGUACCUCCCAAGAAAGCACCGGCUAACUCCGUGCCAGCAGCCGCGGUAAUACGGAGGGUGCAAGCGUUGCUCGGAAUCACUGGGCGUAAAGCGUACGCAGGCGGCGCGUUAAGUCGGGUGUGAAAGCCCGGGGUUCAACCCCGGAAUUGCAUUCGAUACUGGCGUGCUCGAGUGCGGGAGAGGGAAGCGGAAUUCCUGGUGUAGAGGUGAAAUUCGUAGAUAUCAGGAGGAACACCAGUGGCGAAAGCGGCUUCCUGGCCCGAUACUGACGCUCAUGUACGAAAGCGUGGGGAGCAAACAG
rnacentral:rRNA from 1 species